AUGAACGCUAGCGACAGGCUUAACACAUGCAAGUCGAGGGGCAGCGGGGGUAGCGAUACCCGCCGGCGACCGGCGCACGGGUGAGUAACGCGUAUGCAACUUGCCUAUCAGAGGGGGAUAACCCGGCGAAAGUCGGACUAAUACCGCAUGAAGCAGGGGCCCCGCAUGGGGAUAUUUGCUAAAGAUUCAUCGCUGAUAGAUAGGCAUGCGUUCCAUUAGGCAGUUGGCGGGGUAACGGCCCACCAAACCGACGAUGGAUAGGGGUUCUGAGAGGAAGGUCCCCCACAUUGGUACUGAGACACGGACCAAACUCCUACGGGAGGCAGCAGUGAGGAAUAUUGGUCAAUGGGCGUAAGCCUGAACCAGCCAAGUCGCGUGAGGGAUGAAGGUUCUAUGGAUCGUAAACCUCUUUUAUAAGGGAAUAAAGUGCGGGACGUGUCCCGUUUUGUAUGUACCUUAUGAAUAAGGAUCGGCUAACUCCGUGCCAGCAGCCGCGGUAAUACGGAGGAUCCGAGCGUUAUCCGGAUUUAUUGGGUUUAAAGGGUGCGUAGGCGGCCUUUUAAGUCAGCGGUGAAAGUCUGUGGCUCAACCAUAGAAUUGCCGUUGAAACUGGGGGGCUUGAGUAUGUUUGAGGCAGGCGGAAUGCGUGGUGUAGCGGUGAAAUGCAUAGAUAUCACGCAGAACCCCGAUUGCGAAGGCAGCCUGCCAAGCCAUUACUGACGCUGAUGCACGAAAGCGUGGGGAUCAAACAGGAUUAGAUACCCUGGUAGUCCACGCAGUAAACGAUGAUCACUAGCUGUUUGCGGUACACUGUAAGCGGCACAGCGAAAGCGUUAAGUGAUCCACCUGGGGAGUACGCCGGCAACGGUGAAACUCAAAGGAAUUGACGGGGGCCCGCACAAGCGGAGGAACAUGUGGUUUAAUUCGAUGAUACGCGAGGAACCUUACCCGGGUUUGAACGCAUUCGGACCGAGGUGGAAACACCUUUUCUAGCAAUAGCCGUUUGCGAGGUGCUGCAUGGUUGUCGUCAGCUCGUGCCGUGAGGUGUCGGCUUAAGUGCCAUAACGAGCGCAACCCUUGCCACUAGUUACUAACAGGUAAAGCUGAGGACUCUGGUGGGACUGCCAGCGUAAGCUGCGAGGAAGGCGGGGAUGACGUCAAAUCAGCACGGCCCUUACAUCCGGGGCGACACACGUGUUACAAUGGCGUGGACAAAGGGAGGCCACCUGGCGACAGGGAGCGAAUCCCCAAACCACGUCUCAGUUCGGAUCGGAGUCUGCAACCCGACUCCGUGAAGCUGGAUUCGCUAGUAAUCGCGCAUCAGCCAUGGCGCGGUGAAUACGUUCCCGGGCCUUGUACACACCGCCCGUCAAGCCAUGGGAGCCGGGGGUACCUGAAGUCCGUAACCGCGAGGAUCGGCCUAGGGUAAAACUGGUGACUGGGGCU
rnacentral:rRNA from 1 species